UUCCUGUAGUUUAUAUUGAUCGCGUUCCCUUCAGUGACGUCACGUCCGAUUUGGCAUUUUUCAGAUGCGGAAGUAAAAUUCUCUCACAAAAAACGACUCCAGAAGCCUAUGUAGCGUAUUUAUGCGUGUUUUUUCAAGAAAAUCUAUUUCAUACAUUAUUUUUCUACACAUUGAAUCACUAAAGCUCUAACCUGCAAUAUGCCCUUUAAGGAGUAUAAGGACAGAAAAAAUUCAAGCCCAAGUCAGACGAUAAGACACUGGAAGAGUUGUCCAAUCAGAAACUUGAGCAGGACGUUUCUCAGUGGCCCUCAGGAAGGGCUUUUGGGAAGAAGGGACCAAACCAUUGAUCUAACACUGGAUAGAUGCAGUGUGUGAGUCAUGCCAGUUAAAGUAACACCUCUUGGACUCCUCAUACUCACACGGGUAAUAAGUGAGGACAGCUGCCAAGGGAGUUUCGUGAGGAGAGUAAUCCAACUCUAGUGCAGGAGAGUCAUCUUCACAGCACCUUUAUGAAUGAGAAGAAAGGUGAAUGAAUGGUUGGUGAACAAGGUAAAUCAAGUAAGGUUUUUAAUUUCCUGGUUCAGGCUUUUGUGCGGUAGAGAGCAAACUCAAGGUCUGAGGGGAGUCUGUUCGUUUUGGGAGAUAAAUAGACAUAUUGAAGGCCAGCGGCUCAGGACUAGGAAUAAAAUCAUGCUUUGGUAGAGACACUGGUGAUGAAUGACCAGGCUUGGAAGAAAGAUAGCAGUAUGCAAGACAGGGGUUGGUUACAGAAAGAAGUUAUUAUAAUUCCAAAGGACGGUGGCUUAGCUUCAAGGAAACCUUAUUCUCACCUCAGGCUGUAAAAGGACUGCAGUCAAGUGACAGCUUGCCUCACUUUCAACUUGCCUUGGUUCAUGUCCUCCAGUGCUGGAGUAUAUAGUGAGGGGAAGAAGAACAGAAUCUGAAAUUGCAUCCAGCUUGAGGCCAUAUGGCAAUGCAAAUUCGAAUACACAUCUGAACAACAGAAUAUAUGAUGUCUUGAAAUUUGGCAAACGUACAUGUGUGAAUAAUGUGGUGAGGAUGAUACUGAUGUCUCUAUUAAAUGGAUUGUUUUGUUUUUUGUUUUUUUCCAAUUUUAGCUAUUAAUUAUAGCCAUUCAACAUUACAGAUAUUGAAAGCUAUAAUUUUUAACAUUUACAAGUUAUAGGUUUUAAACAU